CGCAUAAAUACAUUAGAAUUUCGUUAUUCCAUAGAUAAUCUCCCCCUCGCCUCAAACCCUGUACAAGUCCUUUCUUCGUCGAGUGGCGCGGCAGCAACAAAUAGAGUGUCAUCAUUGAGAUUGAGAGAAUAAACAGUUGCUUGUAUGCUUGGUCGUUACAUUACAGGCCAGGUUCUCUCAACUUACUAUAAGAGCAGCUAAGGAAUGCGCCUACCUCGGCUCAGUGCUAAUAGUUAUCGGAGUGUUGGCUCAGUG
rnacentral:lncRNA from 1 species